AUGGUUAAGUUAGAAAGGGCGCACGGUGGAUGCCUUGGCACUAGGAGCCGAUGAAGGACGGGACGAACACCGAUAUGCUUCGGGGAGCUGUAAGCAAGCUUUGAUCCGGAGAUUUCCGAAUGGGGAAACCCACUGCUCGUAAUGGAGUAGUAUCCAUACUUGA
rnacentral:rRNA from 1 species